CCACAACAUAGCUGGGUCCCCACAACAUAGCUGGGAAGCUAGGUCCCCACAACAUAGCUAGGUCCCCACAACAUAGCUGGGUCCCCACAGCAUAGCUGGGAAGCUAGGUCCCCACAACAUAGCUGGGUAGCUGGGUCCCCACAACAUAGCUGGGUAGCUGGGUCCCCACAACAUAGCUGGGUAGCUAGGUCCCCACUACAUAGCUGGGUAGCUGGGUCCCCAUUACAUAGCUGGGUAGCUGUGUCAUAAUUACAUAGCUGGGUAGCUAGGUCCGGACUACAUAGCUGGGAAGCUAGGUCCCCACAACAUAGCUGGGUCCCCAUUACAUAGGUGGGUAGCUGUGUCAUAAUUACAUAGCUGGGUAGCUAGGUCCCCACUACAUAGCUGGGAAGCUAGGUCCCCACAACAUAGCUGGGUCCCCAUUACAUAGCUG
rnacentral:lncRNA from 1 species